rnacentral:misc_RNA from 1 species
AUAAAUUCACAAAUUCCUACAAGUUCAUAAUCGAUCUUCAUUUAUUUGUUGAAAGUACAACCUACGAGAUGUGGGAUAGUUUGUUAAAGAUUUUAGGUUGCAUUUUAGAAAGAAAUAUAGAAAUUAGUUUAUUUGGGUUAUUGUAAUUAUUUAGGGUAUUUUAUUAGGGUUAGCGUUCCUACAUAAGUUUUAUUAGCAGUUCUUUAUUGUUA